UCCUCUCGUCGCCUGGGUGGACAUGGAGACCAGCCCGAAGACACUCACCAUUUUCUGUGGAUGGAUCUGUGCGCGCGUAGGACUACCCGGUCCCGAUCCCCUGUAAAGAGACAGAGGGAGGUAGGACCGGACCAAAGGGGGUCCCCAUGGGCUAAAUUCCUCUUUGGGUCGCAGAUACCACCAGGGAUCCCCAAAGCCAUGUGUUAUCAAGUAGAGUAACAGCUUGGUGGACCAGAACUUCACAGCCUGUCAGAUACAUUCACUCUGUGCAUCCCAGAUACCAUCAGAGACACACCUCUACUCAAAGCCGUUUGUUAUCAAAUACGGUGACAGCUUGGAGAACCUGGGCUUCGCAUGUGCGCGCCGGUCAGACGUGCAUGAAUUGUAACUUAAAAGAAAUGUUGCCAUCCAGGGCUUUGGUCAGACCAGACUUAGCGUUUGGGACCCGUGAGAUGGCUUAGCAGGAGAGUGCUCCUGCUGCCAAGCCUGACAACCUGAGUUCGAUCCCGGGACCCACAUAGUGGAAGGCGAGUACUCCCUUACAUCUCAACUGCCUGUUCCGAAACAGCCCACAGCUGUUACGGGAGAAAAUCCAGUCAUACUUCAGGCAGGGGUUAAAAUCCACAAUUUACAUAGAACUGCCAAAGUUAAAUACCGAGGGAACAAAGCUGCCACCUGGACUGGUGAAGGGAACAGACUUUGGCUCCCUCCAGGGGCUGCCCUUAGCAGAGGAUGGGGGGUGUGGAUACCUGCCCCUGCCUCCGUGCUGCCAUGGCAACCACUCCAGAGCACAUCCCUAAAACCACCCCAUGACUCUGGGGUCCGCCCCUUGGCCGACCUUCUCAUCUGUUUCCUGAGUCCCUGUGACGACUUUGGAUUCCUGUCUUGGGGGUCUGCCCCUAGAGGAUCUCAAGUUCUUCCCAGCACCCCGCGGACAGUCAACACCCACCAAAGGGGUCCUUCCCCUCCCCCACAGUCCCUCGGCUUCGCGCCACAGACCGACAGUCCACAGCUGGCAACAGCCCAGAGACCUGGUGGGCUGGGGCAGGCACUGUGGUAGCGGCUGGUGCAGCGGGGUGCCGGGCCCCUGCUAGUAAACAACAAGAAACAACUCAGCAAAAAGAAACACCCGUGGAUACAGAGAAAGAAGAAUGGCUGCCAUAGCCAUUCUAGAAAGCACAGCAAGCCCACAGCUGAGGUGUCGAAGCUGCAGGAAAGAGGAUCCCAGCUAUUCAGGAGGCUGAGCCUGGAGCCUGAAGACCAUUUGAGAGCAUGACGGAUGUCAAGACUUCCAGGCCAGCCUAGACUACUGAGGAACCCUGACUCAAAAUGCAAAAAUAAAAUAAAAUAAAACAAGAUG
ensembl:antisense Gm27045 predicted gene, 27045